UUGUAGUGAAACACACACAUGUACAAUGAUGCUUCAUUCAGUCAUUCUACUUUGGGCUUUGACAUGUGUGAGUUUUGGAGCUGAAAUCACACCAGACAGCACUGAGGAAUCUGCUGCAGUGGGUUCAACUGUUACUUUAUCCUGCAGUUAUUCCUCUGCAAACUCACUUCAAUGGUACCGUCAGUAUCCCGGAUCAGCUCCACAGUUUCUUGUGCUCAUAAUAGAUGGUAUAAAAGAGACUAAGACAUCUGAUGUAGAUCCCAGGUUUUCUACUAAGCUCAGAAAAGAAAAUCAAGCAACAAAAGAGAUCAGCCGUGUGGAUCUGAUCAUCUCCUCUGCUGCUGUAUCAGACUCUGCUCUGUACUACUGUGCUCUGAGGCCCACAGUCACAGGAAACACAAGAACACUCUACAAAAACCUAAUACACAGAUAAAGCUGUAUUUCUUUCCAUAAAUAUAUAUUAUAAAUUCACACUGUAUUAAUUUGAGAUAAAACUAUAAAUAUAUAAACUAUAUAGUUGAAGCAGUGGUACAAUGAAUUAUAAUAUUUUACAUAUUUUAACACUUAAUACUAUAAUGAAUGCUCUUUCUUUACACUUCCCUCUAGGAUGCAAGUCACUGACUAAAUGAUGAUUCAAAUACAGUUCAGCAUGAAUUUUGUAAUAAC